UACGGAGGGUGCAAGCGUUAUCCGGAUUCACUGGGUUUAAAGGGUGCGUAGGAGGGCAGGUAAGUCAGUGGUGAAAUCUCCAAGCUUAACUUGGAAACUGCCGUUGAUACUAUCUGUCUUGAAUACCGUGGAGGUGAGCGGAAUAUGUCAUGUAGCGGUGAAAUGCUUAGAUAUGACAUAGAACACCAAUGGUGAAAACAGACAGCUGGGAGUGUGCUGACGCUGAGACACGAAAGCCAGGGGAGCGAACGGG
rnacentral:rRNA from 1 species